rnacentral:lncRNA from 1 species
AUCAACCACUAUUCCCUGUCCUGUCGUUGAAAAAGUCAUUCAAACCAACAAAAUUUCGCUGGUAAAACACCAAGUCUGCCGGUAACAAGUCCGGCGACCCUCAGCCAAGUCAACCGCUGCCGCAACCCCUAUUUUCCUCUUUUUCGUCAUCGACGUCACCCUUUUCCCCCUUUUCCAUCAACAGAAACUGAAGGAUAACAUGUGCGCCAUCCCCUUCUCUUCUCCCUUUUCCAUUUGCUGCCAUCAUCAUUGGCCGGCGACUCGACGACCAAGCAUGCCAGAUCCGGCGGUCCAUCUCAAAAUUUGCCGAAAAUGGUAUAAAUCGGACGACAAUUUUUUUCCAUCACCUAAUUCACCGAAAAAUAUGCCAACCAAACCCACCCAAAACUGAUCAUUCUUGUGUUAGUUCCGGUGCACUUUCGCCGGAAUCGCCAUUAGUUAUCACCGUCAGCGGGUUUAAGUGAAUUCUAACCAUAUUGUCGCAUAUAGGAGGAUCAGGGAAUAAAAGAAAAUAUUAUGUUUGCUGAUGG